CUUGGUCAUUUAGAGGAAGUAAAAGUCGUAACAAGGUCUCCGUUGGUGAACCAGCGGAGGGAUCAUUACUGAGUUUACAACUCCCAAACCCCUGUGAACAUACCACUUGUUGCCUCGGCGGAUCAGCCCGCUCCCGGUAAAACGGGACGGCCCGCCAGAGGACCCCUAAACUCUGUUUCUAUACGUAACUUCUGAGUAAAACCAUAAAUAAAUCAAAACUUUCAACAACGGAUCUCUUGGUUCUGGCAUCGAUGAAGAACGCAGCAAAAUGCGAUAAGUAAUGUGAAUUGCAGAAUUCAGUGAAUCAUCGAAUCUUUGAACGCACAUUGCGCCCGCCAGUAUUCUGGCGGGCAUGCCUGUUCGAGCGUCAUUUCAACCCUCAAGCACAGCUUGGUGUUGGGACUCGCGUUAAUUCGCGUUCCUCAAAUUGAUUGGCGGUCACGUCGAGCUUCCAUAGCGUAGUAGUAAAACCCUCGUUACUGGUAAUCGUCGCGGCCACGCCGUUAAACCCCAACUUCUGAAUGUUGACCUCGGAUCAGGUAGGAAUACCCGCUGAACUUAAGCAUAUCAAUAAGCGGAGGA
rnacentral:rRNA from 1 species